GCAGUACAAAGUGAAACUGCGAAUGGCUCAUUAUAUAAGUUAUCGUUUAUUUGAUAUUGCCUAUCCUACAUGGAUAACAGUGGUAAUUCUAGAGCUAAUACAUGCUGAAAAUCCCGACUUCGGAAGGGACGUAUUUAUUAGAAUCAGAACCAAUGCCCUUCGGGGUUUCUUGGUGAAUCAUGAUAACUCCACAGAUCGCAUGGCCUUGCGCCGGCGAUGGCUCAUUCAAAUUUCUUCCCUAUCAACUUUCGACGGUACGGUCUUGGCCUACCGUGGUUGUAACGGGUGACGGAGGGUUAGGGCUCGACCCCGGAGAAGGAGCCGGAGGAACGGCUACUACAUCCAAGGAAGGCAGCAGGCGCGCAAAUUAUCCAAUCCCGACACGGGGAGAUAGUGACAAUAAAUACCGAUACAGGGCUCUUUUGGGCCCUGUAAUUGGAAUGAGUACAAUUUAAACCUCUUAACGAGGAACAAUUGGAGGGCAAGUCUGGUGCCAGCAGCCGCGGUAAUUCCAGCUCCAAUAGCGUAUAUUAAAGUUGUUGUGGUUAAAAAGCUCGUAGUCGAACCUCGAGCCUGGCCGGCCGGUCCGCCUCACCGCGUGCACUGGUCUGGCCGGGCUCUUCCCUCUGCGGAACCGCAUGUCCUUCACUGGGCGUGUCGGGGAGGCAGGACUUUUACUUUGAAAAAAUUAGAGUGCUCAAGGCAGGCCAAUGCUCGAAUACAUUAGCAUGGAAUAAUAGAAUAGGACGUUGGUUCUAUUUUGUUGGUUUCUAGGACCGCCGUAAUGAUCAAUAGGGACGGUCGGGGGCAUCAGUAUUCAGCCGUCAGAGGUGAAAUUCUUGGACCGGCUGAAGACUAACUACUGCGAAAGCAUUUGCCAAGGACGUUUUCGCUGAUCAGGAACGAAAGUUAGGGGAUCGAAGACGAUCAGAUACCGUCGUAGUCUUAACCAUAAACUAUGCCGACUAGGGAUCGGGCGGCGUUCUUUCUAGACCCGCUCGGCACCUUUCGAGAAAUCAAAGUGCU
rnacentral:rRNA from 1 species